GAAAUGCCAAGCCAAGCGAUCACUGC
rnacentral:piRNA from 1 species